rnacentral:misc_RNA from 1 species
UCCUGGUUUCCCAGGCAGUCCCGCCAGAGUGCUUUACCUAAAAAGGCAAUUGCAACUGACAGCAAGGGUUGCGCUCGUUAAAGGACUUAACCCAACAUCUCACGACACGAGCUGACGACAGCCAUGCAGCACCUGUUCACACGUCUAAACCGAAGCUUAGAAAGUCUCAUCUCUGAGACGGUCGUGUGUAUGUCAAGCCCAGGUAAGGUUCCUCGCGUAGUGUCGAAUUAAACCACAUGUUCCACCGCUUGUGCGGACCCCCGUCAAUUCCUUUGAGUUUUAGUCUUGCGACCGUAAUCCCCAGGCGAAUCACUUAACGCGUUAGCUACGACACUGACCCAAAAAAUUGAGCCAACAUCUAGUGAUUAUCGUUUACAGCGUGGACUAC